rnacentral:rRNA from 1 species
UACGGGGGGGGCAAGCGUUGUUCGGAAUUACUGGGCGUAAAGGGCUCGUAGGCGGCCAACUAAGUCGGACGUGAAAUCCCUCGGCUUAACCGGGGAACUGCGUCCGAUACUGGAUGGCUUGAGUUCGGGAGAGGGAUGCGGAAUUCCAGGUGUAGCGGUGAAAUGCGUAGAUAUCUGGAGGAACACCGGUGGCGAAGGCGGCUUUCUGGGUCUUACCUGACGCUGAGGAACGAAAGCCAGGGGAGCGAACGGG